CCUACGGGAGGCAGCAGUGGGGAACAUUGCGCAAUGGGCGAAAGCCUGACGCAGCGACGCCGCGUGAGUGAUGACGGCCUUCGGGUUGUAAAGCUCUGUCUUCAGGGACGAUAAUGACGGUACCUGAGGAGGAAGCCACGGCUAACUACGUGCCAGCAGCCGCGGUACUACGUAGGUGGCGAGCGUUGUCCGGAUUUACUGGGCGUAAAGGGAGCGUAGGCGGACUUUUAAGUGAGAUGUGAAAUACUCGGGCUCAACUUGAGUGCUGCAUUUCAAACUGGAAGUCUAGAGUGCAGGAGAGGAGAAUGGAAGUCCUAGUGUAGCGGUGAAAUGCGUAGAGAUUAGGAAGAACACCAGUGGCGAAGGCGAUUCUCUGGACUGUAACUGACGCUGAGGCUCGAAAGCGUGGGGAGCAAACAGGAUUAGAUACCCCAGUAGUC
rnacentral:rRNA from 1 species